GGACCCGCACAAGCGGUGGAACAUGUGGUUUAAUUCGAUGAUACGCGAAGAACCUUACCUGGGUUUGACAUGUUAGUGAAAGUUUUCUGAAAAGAAAUCCCUUUAAAAGCUUGCUUUUAAACACUAUCACAGGUGAUGCAUGGCUGUCGUCAGCUCGUGUCGUGAGAUGUUAGGUUAAGUCCUGCAACGAGCGCAACCCCUAUAUUUAGUUGCCAGCACAUAAUGGUGGGGACUCUAAAUAGACUGCCCGGAAUAACCGGGAGGAAGGUGGGGAUGAUGUCAAGUCAGUAUGUCCCUUAUACCCAGGGCUACACACGUGUUACAAUGGACAGUACAGAAAGUUGCAAUUCCGCGAGGAGGAGCCAAUCUUUAAAACUGUCCCCAGUUCAGAUUGAAGUCUGAAAUUCGACUUCAUGAAGCAGGAAUC
rnacentral:rRNA from 1 species